AGAGUUUGAUCCUGGCUCAGAUUGAACGCUGGCGGCAUGCCUAACACAUGCAAGUCGAACGGAAACGAUGGGAGCUUGCUCCCAGGCGUCGAGUGGCGGACGGGUGAGUAAUGCUUAGGAAUCUACCCAGUAGCGGGGGACAACUCGAGGAAACUCGAGCUAAUACCGCAUACGCCCUACGGGGGAAAGCAGGGGAUCUUCGGACCUUGCACUAUUGGAUGAGCCUAAGUCGGAUUAGCUUGUUGGUGAGGUAAAGGCUCACCAAGGCGACGAUCCGUAGCUGGUCUGAGAGGACGAUCAGCCACACUGGGACUGAGACACGGCCCAGACUCCUACGGGAGGCAGCAGUGGGGAAUAUUGGACAAUGGGGGCAACCCUGAUCCAGCAAUGCCGCGUGUGUGAAGAAGGCCUGCGGGUUGUAAAGCACUUUCAGUAGAGAAGAAAAGCCUACGGUUAAUACCCGUGGGUCUUGACGUAACCUACAGAAGAAGCACCGGCUAACUCCGUGCCAGCAGCCGCGGUAAUACGGAGGGUGCGAACGUUAAUCGGAAUUACUGGGCGUAAAGCGCGCGUAAGCGGCUUUGUAAGUCGGAUGUGAAAGCCCCGGGCUUAACCUGGGAAUGGCAUUCGAUACUGCAUAACUAGAGUAUGGUAGAGGGAAGUGGAAUUCCCGGGUAGCGGUGAAUGCGUAGAUAUCGG
rnacentral:rRNA from 1 species